rnacentral:rRNA from 1 species
GUAUACAUUAGCAUGGGAUAACAUUAUAGGAUUUCGGUCCUAUUACGUUGGCCUUUGGGAUCAGAGUAAUGAUUAACACGGACAGUCGGGGGCAUUCGUAUUUCAUAAUCAGAGGUGAAAUUCUUGGAUUUAUGAAAGACGAACAACUGCAAAAGCAUUUGCCAAGGAUAUUUUCAUU